GACGAACGCUGGCGGCGUGCCUAACACAUGCAAGUCGAGCGGAGGAUUCAAGAUGUUUACAUCGCGGAUCCUUAGCGGCGGACGGGUGAGUAACACGUGGGUAACCUGCCUCAAAGUGGGGGAUAGCCUUUCGAAAGGAAGAUUAAUACCGCAUAAGCCUCCGGUGCCGCAUGGCGCUGAAGGAAAAGGAGCAAUUCGCUUUGAGAUGGACCCGCGGCGCAUUAGCUAGUUGGUGAGGUAACGGCUCACCAAGGCCACGAUGCGUAGCCGACCUGAGAGGGUGAUCGGCCACAUUGGAACUGAGACACGGACCAGACUCCUACGGGAGGCAGCAGUGGGGAAUAUUGCACAAUGGGCGAAAGCCUGAUGCAGCAACGCCGCGUGAGUGAUGAAGGCCUUCGGGUCGUAAAGCUCUUUGAUCAGGGAUGAUAAUGACAGUACCUGAAAAACAAGCCACGGCUAACUACGUGCCAGCCGCCGCGGUAACAC
rnacentral:rRNA from 1 species